AUUCAAAAAUAGUUUUUCGGCAUAAAACCAGCUAAUAAAUUUUCCGUAUAUUUUCACCGAAAAAAUUCGUAAAACCUCAAACAUGUGCUGCGGUCCCUGUUAUGGUUCUUGCUGCGGUCCCUGCUACAGUUCGUAUUGCGGUCCCUGCGGACCAUGUUGCGGUCCUUGUGGACCAUGUUGCGGCCCUUGCGGACCUUGUGGGGGAUGUGGCCCUUAUGGAUCCUGCUGUGGCCGUUGCUAAGCGUCUCUAUGCCGUUUCUUCUCAAUUCAGCUCCGGGGAUCUAGAGAGCCAAUGCUAAAGCGGCUAUUUGACAGAG